GAUGAACGCUGGCGGCGUGCCUAAUACAUGCAAGUCGAGCGAACGGACGAGAAGCUUGCUUUUCUGAUGUUAGCGGCGGACGGGUGAGUAACACGUGGAUAUCCUACCUAUAAGACUGGGAUAACUUCGGGAAACCGGAGCUAAUACCGGAUAAUAUUUUGAACCGCAUGGUUCAAAAGUGAAAGACGGUCUUGCUGUCACUUAUCGAUGGAUCCGCGCUGCAUUAGCUAGUUGGUAAGGUAACGGCUUACCAAGGCAACGAUGCAUAGCCGACCUGAGAGGGUGAUCGGCCACACUGGAACUGAGACACGGUCCAGACUCCUACGGGAGGCAGCAGUAGGGAAUCUUCCGCAAUGGGCGAAAGCCUGACGGAGCAACGCCGCGUGAGUGAUGAAGGUCUUCGGAUCGUAAAACUCUGUUAUUAGGGAAGAACAUAUGUGUAAGUAACUGUGCACAUCUUGACGGUACCUAAUCAGAAAGCCACGGCUAACUACGUG
rnacentral:rRNA from 1 species